rnacentral:rRNA from 1 species
UUUUGGGGGCGUUGCGGCAGCCUUACACAUGCAAGUCGAGCGGUAACAGGAAGUAGCUUGCUACUUCGCUGACGAGCGGCGGACGGGUGAGUAAUGCCUGGGAAUAUGCCUUGAUGUGGGGGAUAACUAUUGGAAACGAUAGCUAAUACCGCAUAAUGCCUACGGGCCAAAGAGGGGGAUCUUCGGACCUCUCGCGUCAAGAUUAGCCCAGGUGGGAUUAGCUAGUUGGUGGGGUAAAGGCUCACCAAGGCGACGAUCCCUAGCUGGUCUGAGAGGAUGAUCAGCCACACUGGAACUGAGACACGGUCCAGACUCCUACGGGAGGCAGCAGUGGGGAAUAUUGCACAAUGGGGGAAACCCUGAUGCAGCCAUGCCGCGUGUAUGAAGAAGGCCUUCGGGUUGUAAAGUACUUUCAGCAGUGAGGAAGGUGGUGAUGUUAAUAGCACCAUCAUUUGACGUUAGCUGCAGAAGAAGCACCGGCUAACUCCGUGCCAGCAGCCGCGGUAAUACGGAGGGUGCGAGCGUUAAUCGGAAUUACUGGGCGUAAAGCGCAUGCAGGCGGUCUGUUAAGCAAGAUGUGAAAGCCCGGGGCUCAACCUCGGAACAGCAUUUUGAACUGGCAGACUAGAGUCUUGUAGAGGGGGGUAGAAUUUCAGGUGUAGCGGUGAAAUGCGUAGAGAUCUGAAGGAAUACCGGUGGCGAAGGCGGCCCCCUGGACAAAGACUGACGCUCAGAUGCGAAAGCGUGGGGAGCAAACAGGAUUAGAUACCCUGGUAGUCCACGCCGUAAACGAUGUCUACUUGGAGGUUGGUGUCUUGAACACUGGCUUUCGGAGCUAACGCGUUAAGUAGACCGCCUGGGGAGUACGGUCGCAAGAUUAAAACUCAAAUGAAUUGACGGGGGCCCGCACAAGCGGUGGAGCAUGUGGUUUAAUUCGAUGCAACGCGAAGAACCUUACCUACUCUUGACAUCCAGAGAAUUCGCUAGAGAUAGCUUAGUGCCUUCGGGAACUCUGAGACAGGUGCUGCAUGGCUGUCGUCAGCUCGUGUUGU